AGAGUUUGAUCCUGGCUCAGGAUGAACGCUAGCUACAGGCUUAACACAUGCAAGUCGAGGGGCAGCAUGGUCUUAGCUUGCUAAGACUGAUGGCGACCGGCGCACGGGUGAGUAACGCGUAUCCAACCUUCCCCAUAGUAGGGGAUAGCCCGGCGAAAGUCGGAUUAAUACCCUAUGUUCUUCGUCGAGGACAUCUGAAGUGAAGCAAAGGUUUACCGCUAUGGGAUGGGGAUGCGUCUGAUUAGGUUGCAGGCGGGGUAACGGCCCACCUGGCCUACGAUCAGUAGGGGUUCUGAGAGGAAGGUCCCCCACAUUGGAACUGAGACACGGUCCAAACUCCUACGGGAGGCAGCAGUGAGGAAUAUUGGUCAAUGGACGAGAGUCUGAACCAGCCAAGUAGCGUGCAGGACGACGGCCCUAUGGGUUGUAAACUGCUUUUAUGCGGGGAUAAAGUGAGGGACGUGUCCCUUUUUGUAGGUACCGCAUGAAUAAGGACCGGCUAAUUCCGUGCCAGCAGCCGCGGUAAUACGGAAGGUCCGGGCGUUAUCCGGAUUUAUUGGGUUUAAAGGGAGCGCAGGCGGCCUUUUAAGCGUGACGUGAAAUGCAGGUGCUCAACAUCUGAGCUGCGUCGCGAACUGGAGGGCUUGAGUGAGUUCGAUGUCAGCGGAAUUCGUGGUGUAGCGGUGAAAUGCUUAGAUAUCACGAAGAACCCCGAUUGCGAAGGCAGCUGGCAAGGCCUUUACUGACGCUAAAGCUCGAAGGUGCGGGUAUCGAACAGGAUUAGAUACCCUGGUAGUCCGCACGGUAAACGAUGGAUGCCCGCUGUUUGCGAUAUACUGUGAGCGGCCAAGAGAAAUCGUUAAGCAUCCCACCUGGGGAGUACGCCGGCAACGGUGAAACUCAAAGGAAUUGACGGGGGCCCGCACAAGCGGAGGAACAUGUGGUUUAAUUCGAUGAUACGCGAGGAACCUUACCCGGGCUUGAACUGCAGCGGAAGGAUACAGAGAUGUUGACCNUCGGGGCCGCUGUGGAGGUGCUGCAUGGUUGUCGUCAGCUCGUGCC
rnacentral:rRNA from 1 species